AGAGUUUGAUCCUGGCUCAGAUUGAACGCUGGCGGCAGGCUUAACACAUGCAAGUCGAGCGGAGCGAGGGUGCUUGCACCUUAGCUUAGCGGCGGACGGGUGAGUAAUGCUUAGGAAUCUGCCUAUUAGUGGGGGACAACAUUCCGAAAGGAAUGCUAAUACCGCAUACGCCCUACGGGGGAAAGCAGGGGAUCUUCGGACCUUGCGCUAAUAGAUGAGCCUAAGUCAGAUUAGCUAGUUGGUGGGGUAAAGGCCUACCAAGGCGACGAUCUGUAGCGGGUCUGAGAGGAUGAUCCGCCACACUGGGACUGAGACACGGCCCAGACUCCUACGGGAGGCAGCAGUGGGGAAUAUUGGACAAUGGGCGAAAGCCUGAUCCAGCCAUGCCGCGUGUGUGAAGAAGGCCUUUUGGUUGUAAAGCACUUUAAGCGAGGAGGAGGCUACUUGGAUUAAUACUCUAGGAUAGUGGACGUUACUCGCAGAAUAAGCACCGGCUAACUCUGUGCCAGCAGCCGCGGUAAUA
rnacentral:rRNA from 1 species